CUAACGCUUCAGAAGUCUGAGAGAAAACAGCUUGAGGAUGCCAUCAAGGAAAAAAAUUCUUCCUCUCCUCCUGCUGUGCCCUCAUAGCCAAUGGCUGUUUCACUUUGAACCCUACCAAAGAUACAGAUAAAUGGAGGAAGGAAGAGAUAAAGGAGCACCAGUUGACUUUUACUUGUGUUUCAUUGCACAGGCCUGAGUCCCAUGGUCACUCCUAGAGGCGACAUAGCCUGAGAAGGUGAGCUUUCAGCUGUCCUGCCUUUAUAAUAACAGAAGACAGGAACCAUAUUGGAGAAAAUCAGCAGAUCAAGAGAAUGCUGCCGGUGUGCCGGAGCUUUUGUUUGUGCCGGUGUGCCAGCAUUUCAUUCACCCCCACCAGUGCUCAUUAUAUGGAGCCAUUUCCGCAGCAUGGUAUCCCACAAUACCGAGGAAAAGUUGAGUCCACUAUUACUUGAAUGAAACUGACAAUAAAAGAACCCAUUCUUCGUAGAGAGAAAAUUUGUUCAUGCUCGAACUGAAGGAAAUCACCACAAAUAGGCCAUCUAGGAAAAAAGAAACCCCUGAGACCUGGAGGAAUUAAAUAAGUUAGCAUCACAAGUUGAGAGAAGCUCUUCAUUUUGGCAGUGGCUCAAAUAUCCAUUUUAGUGGAAAAUAUUCUGUGGGAGUCAAAAGAAGGUUUUGAAUUUGCCUGACAGAUGGUCAAAUGUUGUUAUUCAGCACGUGGGGCUCUGCACACUAAGACCGAAUGUCCUUUCCCUGUCCAAGAAAUUUGAAAGUUCCUGUCACCUUCCUAUCUACCAAGAAAAUGCAUACGAGCCAACACAGGUACUACCUCACUGUGACUGAGCUGUUAGGGAUGCGUGGCUGACAAGGUUUCCAUAGGUAGAACUUGAGGCUAACAGUAGCCACUGCUGGGUGCUUCCUCUUCUCUAGGAAAUGAAGAUGGCCCAAAGGCUUCAAUUAUAAAAGAAACAUAAUAGAUCCUAGCAUCGUGAUGCAGAAAUACCUUACAGAUGCGGUGUGUUACCUUUU